CCUACGGGUGGCAGCAGUGGGGAAUAUUGGACAAUGGGGGCAACCCUGAUCCAGCCAUGCCGCGUGUGUGAAGAAGGCCCUCGGGUUGUAAAGCACUUUCAGUGAGGAAGAACGCCUGGUGGUGAAUACCCAUCAGGAAAGACAUCACUCACAGAAGAAGCACCGGCUAACUCCGUGCCAGCAGCCGCGGUAAUACGGAGGGUGCGAGCGUUAAUCGGAAUUACUGGGCGUAAAGCGCGCGUAGGUGGCUUGAUAAGCCGGUUGUGAAAGCCCCGGGCUCAACCUGGGAACGGCAUCCGGAACUGUCAAGCUAGAGUGCAGGAGAGGAAGGUAGAAUUCCCGGUGUAGCGGUGAAAUGCGUAGAGAUCGGGAGGAAUACCAGUGGCGAAGGCGGCCUUCUGGACUGACACUGACACUGAGGUGCGAAAGCGUGGGUAGCAAACAGGAUUAGAUACCCCAGUAGUC
rnacentral:rRNA from 1 species